UCACUUUCUGAGAAAGCGCGGGCCUCCUGCGGCCCUCGCAGCCGCAGAUGCCUUGCGGCCCCCCAGAAUCUCAAGGAAGGCUCGGGUCGGGCCCCCACUGUCUCUCUCGACUUGCCCUCGAGGAAGCGACUGCUCCGCCUCUGAGUCCUGUGCCUUCCCCGCCUUUUCAAGUAUUCCUUCAAUGGGAUCCAAGGGUCUUGACCUGCACAGGACUUGCUCCUUCACACGCUUCCUCGUACUCUUCCGUGUUUCAACCUUCCUGGUCAAAGGCUUCUGAGUCUCUGGGGCUUUCUUCUGGCCUGGGCCCCUUAAUCCAGAGUUCAAGGCCAUCAGCCAUCCAAGGAAGCCACACCCCAAGGCUUGCACCCAACUGGAGAUUCUGUGCCCAGGGUCGAGCUGAGAUUGCUCCCCACCCCCAUCCCUUAAAGCUCCCGACUUCCCGGCGGGCAGAGAACAAGGUCAAGAGGCGGAGCCUGACUCUCUCCAAGUAUCCCAGCUACUCCUGGCCUGCAUUUCCCCCGCCCUCUCCAGCCCCUCACUAGCUUCUUCCUCCUCCCCCGCCCCUUCCUUUGGAGUUUUAUGGCUUUGAAAGAAAGAGCCCUUUCCUCUCUGAACUGCUGAUUCGCCUUCCUAGAGUAGCCGUCAGCUUUACAGGGUUGCUGUGAGAGUAAAAUUUAGAGAUGGAUGUUGGGUGCGUAGCUCAAUGGUAGGGCACUUGCCUAGCAUUUGGCAAAUGCUGGAUUCCGUGCCCAAAACAAAAGAAAGGAAAAAAGGUGUGAUGCUCUAUGUUGUAGUGAACAGCCAGCCACUCAGGCCCACCAUUUCUUAGAUGGACAUCUAGUCACCCUUUUCAACCCUGUUUGUAAAUAGAAGAAAACCUCAUGGGGCCAAGAGUUGUAGCUGUGCUACUGGAAAGAGAGCAUUGACAGAGUUCAGACAUCACCAAGUCCUUGGAAAGGUCUGUGGACUUUGCAUGCUGGUGGUCAGCUGAGCUGCAAGGCUACUAUGAGCAGAAGCCAGAGUUUUCUGCCUUUACCUAAGUGCCUAAAGACUGAGGAUACCCUCACUGGACACUCAGAGCCUGCUAAGGCUGACGCUUCUUCAGGAGAAUUGCCUCGUACACUGACAAAGGCAGGGUAUGCAUGUGCCUUCCCUUUUCUCUCUUCAGCCAGAGUUUAAAAUGGGCCAGGAGAAGGAGAAAUUAGUGUUCAGACAGAAUGAGAACCUUUGGCAAAGAAAAAAAAAAAAAAGAUCCCAGGGGACUGACAAAGGAAGAAAAGGAGGGUAUGUACAUAUGGAGAGAAUGAAAGCACAAGAGAAAAGAAAACACAAGUUUGAGCAUGGCCCCUUCCAUGGGUGUGAUGUCCUUCCAGGGGGCCUGGUCCACAGAGCAUCAGAAUUGACUGGAAGCAGGAACCAGGAGAAGCUGCCAUUGGCUCAGGGUCCCAGAAGCAAGAGCCCACUACAUUCAGCGCUCCUCGAGGCUGGGUGCUGGAAUGCAGCAGAAGCAAGUGCUCCCUGGCUGGGGUUAGCUACCAGUUCCACUGUUUGAUCUACAGACAGCAUGACCUAGGUAUCUGGAGACUGUUACUUCCCAGAACUGAAGAAAAUGUAGACAACAGCCUUGGGUGCUAGGUCUUUCACCACUGAAGUGAAGCUGGAAUGGUGGACGGGCCGCUGAGGCUGUCCAGCAGAAGAAAGACUGACAGACCCACUAGGAAGCCCAUUUGGUAGGAAUGGCCGAGAUCUUGGCUCAGGGGUCCCGCCUCCGCUGAGACUGCAGGGAGAUGCUGAAUGUUGCCUGGAAUCACCAGGUUACCUUCCAGUCUUCUCCAGUGUGCUUUCUCCCUGCCUUGCGCUCUGGCAUCUCAGCAUGAGGGUUUCAGCAGCUUCAGAUGGGGAGUGGCAAAGGGGCUACAGUGUGUGGCAGUUUUAAUAAAAAUUUUAUUACACA